UGGGGAAUUUUGCACAAUGGGGGAAACCCUGAUGCAGCGACGCCGCGUGAUUUAGAAGGCCUUCGGGUUGUAAAAAUCUUUUCUAUGGGAAGAAAAUGACAGUACCAUAGGAAUAAGGACCGGCUAAUUACGUGCCAGCAGCCGCGGUAAUACGUAAGGUCCGAGCGUUGUCCGGAAUCAUUGGGCGUAAAGGGUACGUAGGCGGGUAAGCAAGUUAGAAGUGAAAUCCUAUAGCUCAACUAUAGUAAGCUUUUAAAACUGCUCAUCUUGAGGUAUAGAAGGGAAAGUGGAAUUCCUAGUGUAGCGGUGAAAUGCGCAGAUAUUAGGAAGGAUACCAGUGGCGAAGGCGACUUUCUGGCCAUAACCUGACGCUGAAGUACGAAAGCGUGGGUAGCAAACAGG
rnacentral:rRNA from 1 species